rnacentral:lncRNA from 1 species
AUGCAAAGCAAAGGUCUGCAGUUUACGAGGACAUUGUGCUGUCUGUUUCCAUGUCCCCAUCAGUCUCUAUGUAAUCAAUAAACUUGCUGCAAUUGAGAUGCCUAAGAGGAGCAGAGACCUCUGCCCAUAUUUUCCCUGGAGCUAAGCCUUUGUUUUAGCUCCUGAUGAGAAACAGGUUUAACCAGCCACCUUAAGGGCGCCAUUGUAUCUUUGAAAUGUAAACUACUAUCACAAGCCCCCUUAAACUGCUUUCUGAGCGGAUAUCACAAGCCCCUGAUAACUAUUUUUUAUGGAGUUUCUAUUUCCUUUCUGUUUACCCCUUUCUUUCUACUGAGAUAAAGUAAAUGUAACAAGAAAAAAGGUAUAAAAGCUGUAACCCACAAGAAUAAAGACGCUGUGCUGUGCUGUGCUAUGCUGUGCUACACUCGCUGCGCUGCCUAGCCCUCCAGACUCCACUUUCCUGUAUUCUUUCACUUCCGCGCACUCUCUCUCUCAGGUUGAACGAGACAUCUACGUUGGCAGUCUUGGGGACUCCCACAGAGGUUAUUCCAGGAGAAGUGGCCUUCGGUGUCAAAUGAACCUGAGAGUCCCUGGCAGGUUUAGCAAUAAAGGAAGACGCUGAUGACAGUAAAAGCAAUGUCAGAGAAAGGGGAAGAUGGAAGUGGACGUGGACGAGUGAGCAGAAGGUGACAAAUGGAAGCAAAGAAACGUUUCCAGACCGUUGAAGAUGCUUGACCUAGA